rnacentral:ribozyme from 1 species
AGAAAGAGAAAUAGGAACCGCCAGUUGAUCGAAUGAUCGGUCACAAGAAAGGAAUCCAUGGGAUCUUUCCAAAUUCUCCAUUUACAUUUUCUUUUUUUCUCUGCCUGACGAUCAUCUGCAAUUUUCUUUUUCCU